rnacentral:rRNA from 1 species
AUCGUGCAAAGGUAGCAUAAUAAUUAGUUUCUUAAUUGGGAACUGGAAUGAAAGGUUGAACGAGAAAAAAACUGUCUCAAUUUAAAUUUAAUUAGAAUUUUAUUUUUAAGUAAAAAAGCUUAAAUAUAUUUAAAAGACGAGAAGACCCUAUAGAGUUUAAUAUUUUUAUUAUUUUUUUUAUUUUAAGAAUUUAAUUUUAAAAUUUAAUUAAAAGUAUUUAGUUGGGGUGACUAAAAAAUUUAAUAAACUUUUUUUAAUUUAAAGUCAUUGAUUUAUGAUUAUAUGAUCCAUUAUUUAUGAUUAUAAGAUUAAAUUACCUUAGGGAUAACAGCGUAAUUUUUUUUGAGAGUUCUUAUCGAAAAAAGAGUUU